GAUGAACGCUGGCGGCGUGCCUAAUACAUGCAAGUCGAGCGAACAGACGAGGAGCUUGCUCCUCUGACGUUAGCGGCGGACGGGUGAGUAACACGUGGAUAACCUACCUAUAAGACUGGGAUAACUUCGGGAAACCGGAGCUAAUACCGGAUAACAUGUUGAACCGCAUGGUUUAACAGUGAAAGACGGUCUUGCUGUCACUUAUAGAUGGAUCCGCGCCGCAUUAGCUAGUUGGUAAGGUAACGGCUUACCAAGGCAACGAUGCGUAGCCGACCUGAGAGGGUGAUCGGCCACACUGGAACUGAGACACGGUCCAGACUCCUACGGGAGGCAGCAGUAGGGAAUCUUCCGCAAUGGGCGAAAGCCUGACGGAGCAACGCCGCGUGAGUGAAGAAGGUCUUCGGAUCGUAAAACUCUGUUAUUAGGGAAGAACAAAUGUGUAAGUAACUAUGCACGUCUUGACGGUACCUAAGCAGAAAGCCACGGCUAACUACGU
rnacentral:rRNA from 1 species